rnacentral:rRNA from 1 species
GAUGGACGCUGGCGGCGUGCCUAAUACAUGCAAGUCGAGCGAACAGACGAGGAGCUUGCUCCUCUGACGUUAGCGGCGGACGGGUGAGUAACACGUGGAUAACCUAUCUAUAAGACUGGGAUAACUUCGGGAAACCGGAGCUAAUACCGGAUAAUAUAUUGAACCGCAUGGUUCAAUAGUGAAAGACGGUUUUGCUGUCACUUAUAGAUGGAUCCGCGCCGCAUUAGCUAGUUGGUAAGGUAACGGCUUACCAAGGCAACGAUGCGUAGCCGACCUGAGAGGGUGAUCGGCCACACUGGAACUGAGACACGGUCCAGACUCCUACGGGAGGCAGCAGUAGGGAAUCUUCCGCAAUGGGCGAAAGCCUGACGGAGCAACGCCGCGUGAGUGAUGAAGGUCUUCGGAUCGUAAAACUCUGUUAUUAGGGAAGAACAAAUGUGUAAGUAACUAUGCACGUCUUGACGGUACCUAAUCAGAAAGCCACGGCUAACUACGUG